rnacentral:rRNA from 1 species
AGCGAACGCUGGCGGCAGGCCUAACACAUGCAAGUCGAACGAACCUUUCGGGGUUAGUGGCGGACGGGUGAGUAACACGUGGGAACGUGCCUUUAGGUUCGGAAUAACUCAGGGAAACUUGUGCUAAUACCGAAUGUGCCCUUCGGGGGAAAGAUUAAUCGCCUUUAGAGCGGCCCGCGUCUGAUUAGCUAGUUGGUUGAGGUAAUGGCUCACCAAGGCGACGAUCAGUAGCUGGGCUGAGCGGAUGAUCAGCCACAUUGGGACUGAGACACGGCCCAAACUCCGACGGGAGGCAGCAGUGGGGAAUCUUGCGCAAUGGGCGAAAGCCUGACGCAGCCAUGCCGCGUGAAUGAUGAAGGUCUUAGGAUUGUAAAAUUCUUUCACCGGGGACGAUAAUGACGGUACCCGGAGAAGAAGCCCCGGCUAACUUCGUG